GUGGUUUGACCAGCUGCAUCACUCCUGGAAUAUCCACAUCUACCUAAAGAAAAGGAAGAUUUAAAAAUGCAUGGGUGUACCUACAUGGAUUUUACCCACCGUGAGUUCCCUCAGACAUUGAGUGUCUAUGUUGCAAUCUUAAAGCUUGCACAAUACAGCUAUGCUAUUGCUCUGAGUUUGCUGCAUCUCUAUGUUAUCUUGAGGACCCAAGGGAAUUAGCAGUUAUCAUCCAAUCUGAGAACCAGACUCUAAAAUUAGCUGCAAAUUAUCAAGCAGCC